GACGAACGCUGGCGGCUUUCUUAACACAUGCAAGUCGAACGUAAAGGCCCUGCUUUUGUGGGGUGCUCGAGUGGCGAACGGGUGAGUAACACGUGAGUAACCUGCCCUUGACUUUGGGAUAACUUCAGGAAACUGGGGCUAAUACCGGAUAGGAGCUCCUGCUGCAUGGUGGGGGUUGGAAAGUUUCGGCGGUUGGGGAUGGACUCGCGGCUUAUCAGCUUGUUGGUGGGGUAGUGGCUUACCAAGGCUUUGACGGGUAGCCGGCCUGAGAGGGUGACCGGCCACAUUGGGACUGAGAUACGGCCCAGACUCCUACGGGAGGCAGCAGUGGGGAAUAUUGCACAAUGGGCGGAAGCCUGAUGCAGCAACGCCGCGUGCGGGAGGACGGCCGUCGGGUUGUAAACCGCUUUCGCCUGUGACGAAGCGUGAGUGACGGUAAUGGGUAAAGAAGCACAGGCUAACUACGUG
rnacentral:rRNA from 1 species